rnacentral:lncRNA from 1 species
GUGGUUGAAAGUUUAAAGGAAUGUAUGUAUGAAAUCUUCAAUUGUUUGAUAAUCAAAAUGUUCUAUCAUUUAAAUUUUUUGGUGAUAGAAUUGAUUUCUUUUUCAGGUGUGCAUGUUAAGCAUAUUUAUCUGAAAUCUGUAUGGUAGUUUUAGCGUUGUUCAUACAUUUAAUUUGUGGAGUUUGAAGCUUUGACAUUACUCCUUGGAUGAACGGUUAAAGUGUCACCAUUUGCCAGUGUUAAAUUUAGUACAUUGAACUCUUGAUUUCACAGCCACAAAUAUUCUAGGUAUGAGCAAAAGUAUUUUCUGAUACUCGGAUUGGAGAUAUGAAAGCAUCAUGGUCUUAUCUUCGGAGACCUUUGACAAAUACCUGACCUUAUUAUUUUUUUUUGGUAAGUACCUGACCUAAUUAUUUGUGAUAGCCGUGUUUAAUGGAAAGAUUUUAGAAUUUUACAAUGUAAAUGCUGCCCAGAGUUUAUACUUAUUUGCUUAACUCAGUUAUUUUUUUCUCUACCAUAUUCAUAUCUUUUCAAUCAGCUUAGCUAAAGAAGAUUGAAGCGGGAUUGACGGAGAGUUGGUAUCGCAACCUUACCUCUAAUAUCAAACCAUGGUCACAUAUUAUAUAGCAGCAACUAUGCCAUCGUUGUUUUAACUUAACUACUUGAUAUAAACAGACAUUAUAAUAUGAGGAUGCUGGUUGAUUAUUUAAAGAGUUCUUCUUUGUCAAGGUUGGAGAAGAUCAAAUUGAAUGCUUGGUCGAGAGUAGUACUAGGAUGGGUGAUGUUUACAAUGUUCCUUAGGCAGCCAGUAAAAUGCUUCUUGAUCUUGAUAGUUAUUGAACUAUUGUUGGUGUUGGAGACUGGAAAAUGGAAAGAUGACUAACUUUUAUUCAAAAAAUGUUUCUAAGUAGGAUACACUACACAGAAACUAGUGAAAUAGACAGAAGAGAACAAUCACACAGCAAAAAACUCAUGAUUUAAAUGUUCAGACAACAUGCCCAUGUCCACGUGUGAAGAUAUUAGGGAAAAACACAAAGUUGGAACAGGCAUAGCAAUGUUGAAAGCAA